rnacentral:rRNA from 1 species
UACGAAGGGGGCUAGCGUUGCUCGGAAUCACUGGGCGUAAAGCGCACGUAGGCGGACUCUUAAGUCAGGGGUGAAAUCCUGGAGCUCAACUCCAGAACUGCCUUUGAUACUGAGAAUCUCGAGUUCGGGAGAGGUGAGUGGAACUGCGAGUGUAGAGGUGAAAUUCGUAGAUAUUCGCAAGAACACCAGUGGCGAAGGCGACUCACU